rnacentral:misc_RNA from 1 species
CAUUAUCCUUUAAAAGAAUACAUGCUCAAGAGGUAUAUUUGAAAUUGAUUUCAUUAGUAUAGACAAACUAUGAGUGAGUGAUGAAGAAAGAGAGAUGCGUAUGAUUUUUUUUUUUUUACGAAAUGUUUGUGGUACAUGUACCAAUAAAGUUCAUACUUAUUACUGCAAGUUGGUACAAGUGCUGAUGUUGGCAAUGCUGAGUUUUAGGACAAUGUCUGUGAUAUGGAGUGUGUUUUUUGUGUUAGAUAUAAUUGUAGUGCUCAAGGUUAUUAAAAAACUGUAUACAGUAACUAUUCAAAAUCAUAGUUGGAAUUAAAAUCUACUGCAGUCAACACCAUAGCAUGAUGGAUGAAAAAAAAAAUGGAGAAUUUUUAUUGGGCGGAGGGGGGGGGGGGGGUGUUAGGGGUAGAAGGAGGAUAUUUCUUCCUUUUAGUUUAUUAUUGUUUUUUUUUUUUGUAUCUCUAUCUUAUAUUUUAAUGCAAUAUAUGUCAGUGAUCAACUAGUAUUGAUAUAUUAAAAUAAAUAUUGCUUCAACUGU